CCCUGGGUGGCUCAGUGGUAGAGCGUCUGCCUUAGGCUCAGGUUGUGAUCCCCAGGGU
rnacentral:tRNA from 1 species